rnacentral:lncRNA from 1 species
GGUUUUCUUUAUAUUUAUUUUGUAGGUGUACUGAAGUUUUGUUUAUUUUUAUUUUUAUUUUAUUUUUUAAAAAGGAGAAAACCGUCCAACCACAUGUUCUUUACUUUAACGUUCUUUGUUUUAUUAUUAUAUUAUAUCAUUGGUUCAUUGAACCACGUGCUCCAUUUUUUUUAUUUUUCAAUUUUCUCCCCAAGUCCUCCUCCAAUCUCCAUGAGUCAUGGCAUGAUUUCAUUACAUAUUCACAUUCUAUUUCUUGGACUAGAGGGGGAAUUAUUUGGAGCUUUGUAGCUUCAUUUCUUUACCACAUCACCUCAUUCAAUUAAAAUAGAGAAAAUUAAUUUUUUUUUGUGAUGGUAAAAUUAUUAUUUUUUUGUUUAAAAAAAAUAGAGAAAAUUCAAAAUUUGUGUAAUUUAUUAUUGUGUUCUUCUUACUUUUUUCAAAAAUACUAAUCAAAUAAGUCACACUAAGUUUAUUAUAAUUAAUGAUUAUCAAUUAUUGUUUUUGCCAAACUAAAUUAAUAAUUAUAAUUUUAAUUAAUAGUAUAUUUUAAGUAUUGUUGGUCUAAAUAAACUCGUUCAACCCAACCAAUUCAUACCCAUAAAUUUUAUUACAAGUUGGUACUUGGACAAUCAAUGAUUCAAUCCGGGAUAACCCCUCCGCCCAAGUUACACCCUUACCUUUAGUUGGCUUUGCUAAUUUCCACCUACUUCUAAAAUGAUGGCCGAUCUUUACGUUGUCAUUAUAUUCUUAUACUCCCUAUUUGCCAAUGUGAUUCACCACUUUUAUUGCCCUAUAGUUAUGAAUUUAUCACUCUAGACUAGUUUGACUUUUCUGACCUUCAAUUAUUUUCGUAAAAAACAUGUUUUUUAGACAUUAAUUGUUAGUUAAAUUCAUUAAUACUAUCUCUAUUCUAAAAAGAAUUACUGUAAUAUAAUGACUGUUUCACUUAAUAUUGAUGACGUGUCAAUGAAAAUUUUUGAAUGACAAAUUUUAUUGAUAUCCUCAGUUCCACCAUAAAAAGAAUAGUUCAGUGCUUAUAAAAGUAGUAUAUAUAUAUAUAUAUAUAUAUAGUGGCAGAACCAGAACAAAAAUUGAGGGGGGUCAAAAAUUGAGGGCAGUUACCGGAGGUCCGGAAUGUUGCAGCGGCGAGGGAGUUAGUACUUUCUCACUUUAAUACUUCUAAUCCAUAUGUUUAGCUCCAUUUUUUUUUUACAUAUAGUAUAUGAGAGUAUGUCUAGAAUUUAUAGAACCUCCACUUCAGGCUUACUAGGCUGCCCAACACAACACUCAAAGUUGCUUUUACAUACCACUUUUUAAUUUCAUCAUUUAUCAAUUCUCUUACGAUUUAAAAAAACAGAAAUUAAACAAUAAUUUAAGAUUACUCCAACAGUAACAAUUUUAAAAAUUAAAUUACUAAAAGAUUAAAGAUGUAAACAUUAAAUUAUUAAAAUUCAUCAAAAUUCUUUCUCUUAGGAUUCUCAAAAGCCAAACAAAGAUAAAAGAAAAGAAAAAUUAAUUUAAAAUAAUUGAAAAAAUUAAAACAAGCCUAAAUUAAAGAAAAAAUUAAAUAAAAGAAACCCAUACCCAUUUCCCAAUUAACUGGAUAUGAAUAUCUAAUACAGUUUCAGAAAUAACCAAUAUCAAUGGAGAAAAAGCUAAUGGGUUUUGCAAUCCCAAAUUCCCAAUUUGCUUAUCCAAUGACAGUAGCAUAAACUCACAAGUCACAAAUCACCAUAAUCAAAUACAAGAUUACAUCAAAUUGAGAUAGAUUACUUACCUUUGUAUCCCAGUCGGACAGGAGAGUUGAAUGCAAGAAAAAGAGAGAGUGGAGGCUGGAGGCACCGACUGCCGAGACGGAAGAGUGAUAACGGAAGAGAGGUAGAGACUGNNNNNNNNNNNNNNNNNNNNNNNNNNNNNNNNNNNNNNNNNNNNNNNNNNNNNNNNNNNNNNNNNNNNNNNNNNNNNNNNNNNNNNNNNNNNNNNNNNNNUGUAUAUAUAUAUAUAUAUAGUGUACUACUACUUGGUAAGUAAAAAUUCCCACAAUGAUAUUACGGGCAAUAACACAACUGAAAUAGAUGUUAUUUAGGCUUGUAAGAUGUUUUGAGUCAAAAACUUAAUAUUAGAUGUACAUAAAACUCAAAGUGAGAUAGAUAACUAAGCCGUUGGUCUGAAUGGACUUCCAAUUAUAUAAAUACCAAAUUUAUGUUGACAAAAAUGUAAUCUAUGUAGAUAUUAUUCCCUCUUAAGUUGGCAUAGAUUGGUACAAGUUUCUGCUUAUCUAGAAAACGUAACUCAUUAGUUGAACCAAGACAUAUCUUGUCCACAAGCUAGCUGACAUAAACAUAAUCAUCAAAUCGGUAGGAAAGUUAACGGAAAUUACCAACUCUUUGGUCUCACAUAACAUAACCACUAAAUGAAGUAACCCGGACCAGGUACAUACUGAGAACCGCGAAAUGCCGACUGGCUAACCAGAAAGAUCAAAAGAAAAAUUCAAAUCGAACCCAUCCAAAACUGAUCAACUCACUUUCUUAGCCAAGGGUCGGUCAAAUACAUGUUCUACUGG